GGAAAGGCUACUGGUCAAACUCCUGAUAGUGGAUCAAGAAAAAGGAAGUACUUUGGGGGAUCCAGUUCAAGCAAGUCGGGUAGAGGCAGAUCUUCUGGACAGAGACCACCCCGAUCUGGUCAGCAUACCUAGCAGACACCCAAAGGUGCACUAUCGGUCCAUCUAUGUGAGACAUGUGGCAGAACACACGGUGGAGUAUGCUAUAGAGCCACAGGAGCAUGUUAUAACUAUGGAGGGACAAGUCAUUUUGCUAAGGACUGUACAAGUGCAUGUCGUUCUGGACCAUCUGCUACAUCAGAGGGAUUAGCCCAAGCUUAUACCCUGAGGGAUUCUCCAUCAGUUAGCAGAGGCAGAGGCAGAGGUAGGGGUAGUACACCUGGAAGUCAAAGUACGGUUAAUUAGCUAGAACCUAGUGGCGCACCAGCCAGAGUGUAUACGAUGCGAUAGAGAGAGGAGGCUGAGACAUCGGAUGUUGUAGCUGGUACUUUUUCUAUCCUUGACCUAGAUGCAUAUGUGUUAU
rnacentral:misc_RNA from 1 species